UUAUUGUCCACAGCUGAAGAGUUUCUGAUUGUGUGGUUGUUGUCUGUUCUCACAGGACUGGAGCCAUUCACGUUGGCGAUCGUAUUCUGGCCAUCAACAGCGUCAGCCUGAAGGGGAAGCCGCUCAGUGAAGCCAUACACCUGCUGCAGAUGGCAGGAGAAACCGUCACCCUCAAGAUCAAGAAACAGACCGACACACCAGAUGAUCAAAAUAAAGAGAACGAUCUGGAUAACGAGCUCAGCGAUAACGAGGACGACACGACCGACUCGCAGAAGACCAACAAACUGUCGGACAUUUAUUCCACCACCAUCCCCAGCGUGGAUUCGGCCAUGGAGUCGUGGGACGGCUCGGGAAUCGACGGCGGUUACAGCAGCCAAGGUGGCUACACGCAUCAGGCCGCUGGGAUUGCGCUACACCCUCACGAGUGGCGUAACAGCAAGCAGAGGAACAGCACGCCUCCUCCGUCCCGCCGCAAGAACUACCCCUUCAGUGACACGGGAUUCAGUGAGGACGACUGGGACAAAGCUGCCGGGUGAGACGGGACGCUGUACACAAGCGUGUGCAAUGCUGCAUUGUUUUCAGUGUUCUUAUUGUAAAUUACUACUAUUAAAAAUCAUUUUUGGUGAUUGAAAUGAAGCUGAAAAAAAUAUUGAAAUAUUCGAUGAGAAACUUAAAGUUAAUGAAACUUACAUUUAUUUUAUUCGUUUUUUUUUUGUUUUGUUUUUUU
rnacentral:lncRNA from 1 species